CGGGACACGUGGUAUCCUGUCUGAAUAUGGGGGGACCAUCCUCCAAGGCUAAAUACUCCUGACUGACCGAUAGUGAACCAGUACCGUGAGGGAAAGGCGAAAAGAACCCCGGCGAGGGGAGUGAAAAAGAACCUGAAACCGUGUACGUACAAGCAGUGGGAGCACGCUUAGGCGUGUGACUGCGUACCUUUUGUAUAAUGGGUCAGCGACUUAUAUUCUGUAGCAAGGUUAACCGAAUAGGGGAGCCGAAGGGAAACCGAGUCUUAACUGGGCGUUAAGUUGCAGGGUAUAGACCCGAAACCCGGUGAUCUAGCCAUGGGCAGGUUGAAGGUUGGGUAACACUAACUGGAGGACCGAACCGACUAAUGUUGAAAAAUUAGCGGAUGACUUGUGGCUGGGGGUGAAAGGCCAAUCAAACCGGGAGAUAGCUGGUUCUCCCCGAAAGCUAUUUAGGUAGCGCCUCGUGAAUUCAUCUCCGGGGGUAGAGCACUGUUUCGGCAAGGGGGUCAUCCCGACUUACCAACCCGAUGCAAACUGCGAAUACCGGAGAAUGUUAUCACGGGAGACACACGGCGGGUGCUAACGUCCGUCGUGAAGAGGGAAACAACCCAGACCGCCAGCUAAGGUCCCAAAGUCAUGGUUAAGUGGGAAACGAUGUGGGAAGGCCCAGACAGCCAGGAUGUUGGCUUAGAAGCAGCCAUCAUUUAAAGAAAGCGUAAUAGCUCACUGGUCGAGUCGGCCUGCGCGGAAGAUGUAACGGGGCUAAACCAUGCACCGAAGCUGCGGCAGCGACGCUGAUGCGUUGUUGGG
rnacentral:rRNA from 1 species